CCCAGUCGAGCGGCAGCACGGACCUCGGUCCGGUGGCGAGUGGCGGACGGGUGACUUUAGUAUAGGAACGUGCCUGGUAGCGGGGGAUAACUACUCGAAAGCGUAGCUAAUACCGCAUACACCCUACGGGGGAAAGCAGGGGAUCGCAAGACCUAGCACUAUUAGAGCGGCCGAUGUCGGAUUAGCUAGUUGGUGGGGUAACGGCUCACCAAGGCGACGAUCCGUAGCUGGUUUGAGAGGACGACCAGCCACACUGGGACUGAGACACGGCCCAGACUCCUACGGGAGGCAGCAGUGGGGAAUUUUGGACAAUGGGGGAAACCCUGAUGGAGCCAUCCCGCGUGUGCGAUGAAGGCCUUCGGGUUGUAAAGCACUUUUGGCAGGAAAGAAACGUCAUGGGCUAAUACCCCGUGAAACUGACGUUUCCUGCAGAAUAAGCACCGGCUAACUAUCUGCCAGCAGCCGCGGUAAUACGUAGGGUGCAAGCGUUAAUCGGAAUUACUGGGCGUAAAGCGUGCGCAGGCGGUUCGGAAAGAAACGUGUGAAAUCCCACAGCUUAACUUUGGAACUGCAUUUUUAACUACCGAGCUAGAGUUCA
rnacentral:rRNA from 1 species